GAGUGAUCGAAAGAUGAAAAGCACUUUGAAAAGAGAGUUAAACAGCACGUGAAAUUGUUGAAAGGGAAGCGUUGUCCACCAGACUCGCCCGGGGGGGUUCAGCCGGCACGUGUGCCGGUGUACUCCUCUCCGGGCGGGCCAGCAUCGGUUUGGGCGGCUGGUGAAAGGCCCCGGGAAUGUACCACCCUCCGGGGUGUCUUAUAGCCCGGGGUGCCAUACAGCCAGCCUGGACCGAGGCCUGCGCUUCGGCGAGGAUGCUGGCGUAAUGGUGGUCAACGGCCC
rnacentral:rRNA from 1 species